UACGAAGGGGGCUAGCGUUGUUCGGAUUUACUGGGCGUAAAGCGCACGUAGGCGGAUCGUUAAGUCGGGGGUGAAAUCCUGGAGCUCAACUCCAGAACUGCCUUCGAUACUGGCGAUCUAGAGUCCGGAAGAGGUGAGUGGAACUCCUAGUGUAGAGGUGGAAUUCGUAGAUAUUAGGAAGAACACCGGUGGCGAAGGCGGCCCACUGGAUCGGUACUGACGCUGAGGUGCGAAAGCGUGGGGAGCAAACAGG
rnacentral:rRNA from 1 species